ensembl:lncRNA novel transcript
CUUACUUCGAUUAUUAAGAAUUUUUUCCCCUAGUAAUCUUCAACUGUCUCAAUAUUCAGCAGGAACCCCUUGGAGACAAAGAUCAGUACGAAUUUGGAACACCUAUUGACAAAAUGAAUGUAAUUUAAUUUAGUACAGUAGUAAAGUCAACCACUUUUAGGUGUUGAUGCUGCUGAAAGUGUAUAUUAAGGAAAAGUUUACUUACCUUACUUUUUGUGGAGGUGCUAGAACUACUUCUGUCUUGUGUUUAGAUUUCAAGAAACCUUUGCAUGGGCAUUAUGUGGUUGCACAAAUGUACUUCGUUUUGACCUGAAAAUGCAAAAACUUCCUUUCUUCCCACUUUCUGAGACUCUGCAACCUUAAAGGAAGAGUGGGGUUCUUUAAAGGAAAGGUGGUGGUGGUUGGGUCAUGGGUAACAAUGUCUACUGUGUACUUCCUUUCCCAAAACAAGUCCCUGUCUACCGUCAGCAUUUCCAAAAUUUGAAGGUCAAGUGUGGUGUUAACUCAUGAACUAAUGACUAGACUUUGAGCGGUUGUGGAAGCAAAAUCUCAGUGAGUGCCUGGAUGUUCUAAUUCUGUUAAGUCAGUGAGUGCAUAUUCUGUACAAUACUCUCUUAGCCCAGUGGUAGGUUUAAGGAGUGGGAGAGAGAUUUCUGUGUUUCGGAAAUCAGAUACACAAAGAAUAAAAAUUUUUAAUCCCA